rnacentral:tRNA from 1 species
CCUGCUGGCUUGGAGGUUAAAGCGUCUGCCUGCAAUGCCGGAGACCCGGGUUCAAUCCCUGGAUCAGGA